rnacentral:lncRNA from 1 species
CAAAAGAACAAUAAAAUUAUAUAGUUUAGAGCCCCGAAUAAGUGUAGAAAAUACACUUAUCAAACCCCCAAACUUGAAUCUUUGUUUGUCCUCAAACAAAACUGAAAUCUAAGUAACAACAAACAUACAAGCAUGCAAAAAUUAUUUGGUUGGACAGUUUAACUUUUUACCACAGCAUUUGAGAUCACCGAAUUAAAUCUAUAAACUGC